CCACUCUUCCCAAUCUCUUAGAUUUCAAGCAGCCUUGCUCUGUUCUGUACUAGGGUUUGGUUUGAGUUUGGCUUCUGUUUUUUAAUCACUAUGAGGGCAAAGUGGAAGAAGAAGCGUAUGAGGAGGCUGAAGAGGAAGCGCCGAAAGAUGAGACAGAGAUCGAAGUAGUGUGUGUGUUUCCCAAACAACAAUUGCUCUUAGUUUUGUUUCGUUUCCGUGUUGCUUUUGUUCUCUAAUGUUAUGAUACAUUUUUAUUGGUUACUUUUGUUCUUGUCUUAGCUCAUAAAUUUUCUUCCUGCGGAUUAACUAGAUUUAAUAUUUGAAUCUCA